rnacentral:rRNA from 1 species
CCUACGGGGUGCAGCAGUGGGGAAUAUUGCGCAAUGGGCGAAAGCCUGACGCAGCGACGCCGCGUGAGGGAUGAAGGUCUUCGGAUCGUAAACCUCUGUCAGCAGGGAAGAACGGUCACUGUGCUAAUCAGCAGUGAAUUGACGGUACCUGCAAAGGAAGCACCGGCUAACUCCGUGCCAGCAGCCGCGGUAAUACGGAGGGUGCGAGCGUUAAUCGGAAUUACUGGGCGUAAAGCGCUCGUAGGCGGUAUGUCAAGUCAAGGGUGAAAUCCCCGCGCUCAACGUGGGAACUGCCUUUGAAACUGGCAAACUGGAGUGUGUGAGAGGAUGGUGGAAUUCCAGGUGUAGGGGUGAAAUGCGUAGAUAUCUGGAGGAACAUCAGUGGCGAAGGCGACUAUCUGGCACAUAACUGACGCUGAGGAGCGAAAGCGUGGGUAGCAAACAGGAUUAGAUACCCUUGUAGUC